UACGUAGGGGGCGAGCGUUGUCCGGAAUCAUUGGGCGUAAAGCGCGUGUAGGCGGUUACGUAAGUCUGCUGUGAAAGUCCAGGGCUCAACCCUGGAAUGCCGGUGGAUACUGUCGGGCUCGAAUCCGGAAGAGGUGAGUGGAAUUCCUGGUGUAGCGGUGAAAUGCUUAGAUAUCGUCAAGAACACCAAUAGUGAAGACAGCUUACUGGGCUUAAACUGACGCUGAGGCACGAAAAGUGUGGGGGAUCAAAACAGG
rnacentral:rRNA from 1 species